UCGUUAGCUACCACCGUCUCUGCUAUAUUUCCUGGUGCUUAUAACAAAUAAGUAUAUCACAGCUGAGGUGAGGAAGAUGGUGUUUUAUUCCAGGGAGGAUCGGUAAAGUUUGACUGAGACAAACUGGACUCAUUCAGGAGGCUUUAUGACGAGUUAGCUAGCUAACGGACGGAAAUAAGCGUUAGCUCCGUUAGCUAGGUUAGCAUCCGUUAGCUAACGUCUCUUCAGUCAGACUGCGGCCACAGCGGCUGUUUGUGCUGCUGACAGCUGGAUUUUAGGACACAAACAGAGUCAACACGUGUGAGAGUCAUUCUAGCUGCUAGCUAACCGAGCUACUGUCUACUUAGUCAGCUUGACCUAGUUAGCUGUUAGUUAGCAGGUUUACAGCCAGGAAGACUCAGGACAAACUUUGUGCUGCUGAAUCACAGUGACAGUUGAUUUUAUUGACCCUGAUUAAAAUCCAUGUAAAGUAAAUGGUUCAAACCAUAUUCAGUUGGAAGGAUCCUAUUUUUAGCUGGAGUCAUGUGAUUUCCAGGAAUCAGAAGAAGAACAGCUCUGAGAACAGAAAGAGAAAGAGAAGUGAACAGUUCAGACUCCAUUUUACAGUGGACAGAGGAGGACAAUAAGACUGACUGAAGUCCACAAGAUGAGUGAUUGUGAGGAGGAGUUUCCAGCCUCCAGUCAUCUGUCCAUGAAGAGAUGAGAGGUCCCUCUCUAUCUCCCCACACAUCCACCAACCACUGGAACACAUCUCCAAAGUUCUGCUGCCAGCUCAGCUUCCCCUCAGAAGAAGUGCUGCCACCUGCCAGAUGAAGGAGCCUUUUGAGAGGCAGCUGGCAUCGUGAUUGGACUGUACUUUGGUCUGUUCCAAUCCAGCUUCAGCUCCAGAGACGGCAGGCGGGACGAGUCAACGGAGGCCGGAUGGACGAAGGCAUGCAGCUGAGUACAAUCCAGAAAACAACAGAGGAGGAGUGCAGCGGCCCAGAGCCAGAACAACCAGAGUAGCAUGACCAAAGAACUACAGACUCUUCACAACCUGCUCAAACUCUUGGUACAGGACCUCACCACACGGGUCAAGAAGGUUUCCAUCUCAUUUCUACUCUGAAGCUCACCUUCUCCUGUUCAAACUGCUGACAAAUGUUUGUGCUGCUCUAAAGUCUGGUCUCCAGAACUUCCUAAAAACUCUCAAAGUCUCUUCUGCUGCAGGUUGCUUUGUAGAACUGUUCCAGAAAACCUCACUAAACCACAUGGAGGGGCCUCAAGAUAGUCGUCCAAAUGAAACCAUACAAUAACCAAACUAGUACAACCCAAACGCUAAAGUCUCCUGCAGCCUACCAGAGAACCUCUGAGAACAGAGAAUCAGGACAGGAACUCUUACCUUCUGGACAACCAACGCUGGUUCUCAAACAAGAAUACAGAAUGUGUCUGACCAGAAACCUCUGAAGACUCACUACAGCCAAGACAAAGACACAACUCAGCUGCACCAAAUCCACUAAUCACUGCACACAUUAGCACCAUGUGCUAACUGUGGCUAAAGAGCCACAUUUACCAAGACAACUAUCCAGUACAAAGCCCUAAAACACACCAAGAAACAGAUGAUUUUACUGCUGGAAGCUGCAAGCCAACGCCUAAAGAACAAACUAAAGCAAUGGAACCAAACCCAGUUCUGUGGUGAAGAGAAACAGAGGAAAUGUUUGUCUGCAGCCACAUGAAGCAGGAAGACACUGAGCUGCUCAGGUGUUCCUGAUAACACCAAGCAGCCACCUGGACAGCCAAUAGGAACACAGCUUCCUGGAAGCCCAGAGGGCUGGCUUAGUGAAGGAAAUUUAAAGUUGAGGCAGAAAGUUAACAAAGAAAGUUGAAAACCACCUUCCGAUCCCUGAAAUCUCUGAGUUUUCACACAAAGAACACCUGAACAUGUCAAACUGGUUCCAUAGUAGAACCAUCAUUGUAAAAACGUCAUAGUAUGGUGUCUUGCUCAAAAAACAUUAGGACCCGGCUGUCUAGGGUUGCAGAGGAGCAACACAAAAACAGGACAAACGCUGGUUUCCAGGGGGUUGGGAGGCUAUUUAUUUGAAAGAGGAAGUUUACAACAACACAACAUGUGAGCAGAAAAAUCACAAAGUCUGUCUAUAGUUCAGCUGAAAAUAUUAGUUUUUGUCUUUUUUCUUUUCUUUUCUUACAGUUACAGAAAUGGUUUGAUUGCAGUGAUUGCCUCAAAAGGUUGUGCAAUAAAAUAUUAAGUUAAGGGUACCAUCAUUUUUAUCCAGGCCUGUUUCAUGAGUUUAUUUUUUAAAAUAAUUCUGUUGAACCACAGUUCAAAAGCAAUGUCUGAUUUUCAUUGGUUAAUUUUCAUGGAAUUUUUAUUAAUAUUUUUGUCAGAUUCAAAUUAUUUCUGUCACCAUUGUGGGCUUUUCUUUCAUUAACUGAGGGGUACCAACAAUUUUGUCCACAUGUGUAUACCAGUAAAACUUCACUGAUUUUUAUGUGAAUGGUCUUAAAGAAUAUUUUACAGAUGAAUGAUGACAGAUGAGGAGACAUCCUGUCCUGAAGAUGUCAAAAAUUGGACUGAAACGUCAUAGUUCAGUAUGUCGUCCAAAAUAUGAGAAAAACGUCGUAGUUUAGUAUGUCGUCCAAAAUGUGGAAAAAACCUCAUAGUUUAGCCUUUAGUCCACAAAACGUUGUUGUGUCCCGGCUGUCUGAAGUCGGUGAGGAGCAACACAAAAACAGUCCAAACGCUGGUUUCCAGAGGGUUAGACGAGUAUUUAUUUGAAAGAGUAAGUUUACAACAACACAACAUGUGAGGGGGUUAAAAGCAAAUGGGUGUUAGUAAAAUAAAAAUAAAUAAACAGAACUAAAAGUGAACUUCAUGUUGACAUUGAUGGGCAUUCCAACCAGGAACAAAGUAAAAGAUAAUCAAUACAAAAAAACACUCUUCCUGUUCACCUCUUUAAACCCCAAAACACACCGCAGUAGCAUCCUAAACUCAAACUACCAAUGGGUUCCCUGUUUUCCUUUGUGAACAAUUCAAAGGUCCCUCUCUAUCUCCCCACACAUCCACCAACCACUGGAACACAUCUCCAAAGUUCUGCUGGACCAGCUCAGCUUCCCCUCAGAAGAAGUGCUGCCACCUGCCAGAUGAAGGAGCCUUUUGAGAGGCAGCUGGCAUCGUGAUUGGACUGUACUUUGGUCUGUUCCAAUCCAGCUUCAGCUCCAGAGACGGCAGGCGGGACGAGUCAACGGAGGCCGGGUGGACGAAGACAUGCAGCUGAGUACAAUCCAGAAAACAACAGAGGAGGAGUGCAGCAGCCCAAAGCCAGAACAACCAGAGUAGCAUGGUGUGUCUCUUAGAAAACAUCAUAGUAGAGCCUUUGAUUUGAAAAAAACGCCAUCAUAUACAUCGUAUAUUGUACAAAUAACAAGUCAAAGGAAAGAGACAUACAUUGUAGAAUUGUAGUAAUUGUGGGCUGACUGAUUUACUGAUUAGCAGUAUUUUAUUUUUUACUGAUUUACAGUAAUAAAUCAAUUUAAAAAUGGUGCUACUUUGCCUCUGAACCUUUAUCUACCUGUGGUCGCUCUGUCUUCUGGAGUGAUUUGAUUGGUGUCCAGUAUAUCUACAAAAGUCUGCUGUCCUCCUCAGCCUCUCACUCCUGUGACGCUGCCAUCUGGGCACGGUAUUUGCCUGUCAUCUCUUUGGGCAGCGGCGUGGUGCCAGAAGCCAUACGUUCCAUUUAACCUGAAUAGUGUUGUGACUGGAUGUUACCAUUUCAGAAUUACACUGAUUAAUUUUUGGCGGGGGAAGGUGUGGUGGGUGGUGGAGGGCGGUGGGGGAGUAGAGGGGGGGAGGCCGCCCCCCACCUCCCCGCCUACUCUCCGCCCUGACUCCACCUUGGCUCCACCCAUGUGGUCACUUCAGGAACUACGAUGUCAAAGGGACGACGAAUUUAUGUCUUUGUAUCUGAUCUGUGGCGGUACCUGGAAGCCGCUCGUCCGUACGGGGGAGGCCAGUCGCGUCGCCCGAAUCAUCUUUCCCCGACCACUCACGUCACCCGGCCUUUCUUUUCAAAACCACUCAUAUCGCCUGCUCAUUCUUUUCGGGACAAAUCAGAACCGCCAGAUCAUCUUCCACCCCUCUGCUCUAAUCUGAUGCCCGGAUUCAUAUUUUGCCCCCCUCUGAUACGCCGAACACAUCGACCAAUCACGCGUUGGCGUUCAAAUCCCCAGCGCGCCGCCGACCGCUCUCUGUGUUUACGUUCGGAUAAACUACCGGAAAAAUACAAGCCGGCCCGGGUGAAACCGGGAAAAAAACUCUCAGCUAUUUCUGCCUUCAGGAGGUAAGGUAAACCCAGUAUGUCAUUGUCUGUAUUCACAGAAAAUAUGCAUUUUGGUGGCCGCCUGUCAGUAAAUGUCAGUAAAGGAAUGCUGACGUUAGGUCUGUGGCAUUAACUGCUUUUCUAAACAUAACGGCAAAUCUAAGUUUUGCUAGUUUGACCCACUGUCCGGAUAAUUCGGACAAUUAUGCUAAUGUGUCUUCAGUUAUAUGUGUUAUGCAUGCUAACUUACACACUUACUGAUCCCUGAAAUAUACUUUCAAUUACCCUUUCUCUCUGAUGUCGCCAUACUUUAAUUCGGUGCUGUCAUGGAUUGCCGAUUUGAGAUAUAAACAGCUUUGCUUGAUUGCUGUAGCAUAUUAACUCUUGUUUUCUUAUGAAACUGUAGGCUGCAGAGGUAAUACAUUAGCCUAAUUUGGCCAUUGCUUCAUAUCACACAUUUUUGAUUGCUUGAUAUUUUGCCUUGUAGCACUGUUAUUUCAGAAAAUGGCUUCAAAAAAGACACACAAGGCGAUGGAUGACGGAGUGUGGCUAUCUCGGCUGAGGUCAUUUUCCACCACAGGAGUCUGGCCAUCAAGUGCUGGGAACAGGCCUGCCCCAAGGCAAAAAAAAUGGCACGACCUCUAUCAUAAGAUCAAAAAGUGUCCUCUGCAACUGAGGGGCCAGAGGACCCUCGUGACAGAGCCACAGGGAUGCUCGUGUGGAUUUCAUACCCAGAAGGCACGGUCGAUUCAUUAAGAUGACUCCACAGUCGUGCAGUCUACUUAUGCAGUAUUAUAUUGUCGUAGAAAACUGAGAUAACACCAGCUGCUAGUUUCACCAAUCAUGACAAAAGAUUUUACUGACCAGCAGAGAAUUGUGUGUGCUGAGUGUGUUUUUGAUUAUUUUUAGUGCAGCUUCCAGGUACCUCUGGUCUGUCAGGGGCUAAAUCAAGCCUCAGACCUAUUUGCCCACAACCAGCAGCACCACAGCCACAGCUGUUUUGUUCUCCCAGUUACGUCCAUUUUGUGACACAGCCCAGUCCUCUCCCUGGUCCAAGUGCCUCAAGCACUACUGUUGACCAACCUGAUGGUGACGCAGGUGCAAAACGUAAAUAUAAUCGGACUGUCACAUCCAAUACUUGUGGGAAGUGCGGACAGUUUCGCACACAAGAGACUGGCCACAGUCAGUAUAAGGGCAAAAUAUAUUGCCCAAAUACUGAAACUGUAAGCAAGGAACAGUGGCUGAACAUGAUGAGGCAGAAAAUAAAGCCAGUGAACCUGUAAUCAUUCUGUUGUUGUUUGCCUCUGAGGAUUGUUGCUGUGAAGGAAA